GUCAUCAGCCACCCUGUGGAGUGGCCCUGCUGGCAAGGAACUGAUGUCUUUAGCCAACAGCCAGCAAGGAUCUGAGGCCCUCAGACCAAAAACCAUCAAAGAACUAAAUGCUGCCAACAACCACGGGACGGAGCUGAGAAGUGGAUUCUCCACCAGUCCCAGGCUAGAGAUGACUGCAGCCCUGUCUGACACCUUGAUUGCAGCUUUGUGAACCAGAGACACCCAGAUGGAGCAAUAUGAGGGCUUCACAGAAGCAGCAGGCUCUGCUCUUCCAGGGACCCGCUGGUGGACUAGGAGAAGGGAGUAGAUGCUUUGUUGGGCUAGAAUUCCAAGAAGACCAUGAAUAAAACAAGUCACACUCUA